rnacentral:rRNA from 1 species
GAUGAACGCUAGCGGCAGGCUUAAUACAUGCAAGUCGAGGGGUAGCAAGAUUGUAGCAAUACAAUUGUUGACGACCGGCAAACGGGUGCGGAACACGUACACAACCUUCCUACAAGUGGGGAAUAGCCCAGAGAAAUUUGGAUUAAUACCCCGUAACAUAGCGAUGUGGCAUCACAUUGCUAUUAUAGCUUCGGCGCUUGUUGAUGGGUGUGCGGCUGAUUAGAUAGUUGGCGGGGUAACGGCCCACCAAGUCUACGAUCAGUAGCUGAUGUGAGAGCAUGAACGGCCAAACGGGCACUGAGACACGGGCCCGACUCCUACGGGAGGCAGCAGUAAGGAAUAUUGGACAAUGGACGAAAGUCUGAUCCAGCCAUGCCGCGUGAAGGAUUAAGGUCCUCUGGAUUGUAAACUUCUUUUAUAAGGGACGAAAAAAGGUCUUUCUAGAUCGUCUGACGGUACCUUAUGAAUAAGCACCGGCUAACUCCGUGCCAGCAGCCGCGGUAAAAC